UACGUAGGGUGCGAGCGUUGUCCGGAAUUAUUGGGCGUAAAGAGCUCGUAGGCGGUGUGUCACGUCGGCCGUGAAAACCUGCAGCUUAACUGUGGGCGUGCGGUCGAUACGGGCAUCACUGGAGUUCGGCAGGGGAGACUGGAAUUCCUGGUGUAGCGGUGAAAUGCGCAGAUAUCAGGAGGAACACCGGUGGCGAAGGCGGGUCUCUGGGCCGGUACUGACGCUGAGGUGCGAAAGCGUGGGGAGCAAACAGG
rnacentral:rRNA from 1 species